CACGUCAGCUGUCGCUCAGGAUUCGAGGAAGGGAAGGACUGUUCUACACGACGGCGGUUGUCCCUGCUUUUGUAUCCACGUCCGGGGAUCUUCGGUUAAGUCCAUUUUAUUGAAGAAGCCAUCGAUCUAGAACAACCUGGUAGUAUCAGUCCCCUUCGUAAAACCACGGUGUGACGUGACUUGCCCUCGAAGAUGGACGGUACCCUGGAACUACCAACUGAAAUAAAUCCUUCCUUCCUCCGUUGCUUUUGGUCGAGGCGUUUUAUCACAGUAACAGACAUGAAAUUGGGACACCACCUAAGUCCAGCUUGUGCAGGGGCAUGAAGGAAAGAGAACGCAGUCACGUCUGUGCCAAAGAGCCCCUCCUGGGAUCCCAAACAUGGAGCUCUUGGGAAGAACAUGAUAGAAGAACAUAGAAGAGAGAGUAAGGAAAGUGGGUCUGCCUGUGGUGUGUUGUGAAGGACGUGAGUUGAGCAGGAACUUUGGUGUUGGUGUUAGCUUUUGUGGCAUGGCUGAGCCCUGAAGACCGUGGUCAGGUAGAAGAGGCUCUUGUGGACCUCAGUGACUGCAGUCAGCAUUCAAGUUGGGUUGUAAAGUGCUAAAGCAAUUGAGCAGAUGAGAAAAAGAAAGACAGAAAAGGGCGGGCACUAGGGUAACUCAAAAGCAAACUGGGAGAUGUUCAGUGGGCAAAGUGCUUUGCAGGUGUGAGAAACGAGUUUGAAUCCCUAGCACCCACAGAAAAGCUAGGUCUGAGGCCUGGGUCUAAACCAGUGCCGGAGACAGUGGGGGUGGGCUGGUAUGGACCCUGUCACCACUGUUGCUAACCUAACUACUGAACUGGACUGCUGGUGUAUCUGUGAAGUGUUUGCGAGGGAGUCGAGCUGCCGCUGCCUGCUAACCUGUGAACUGAACUGCUGAUAUUCAUACAGCACAGAUGGGAGUUGCUCAAAGAACUUUUCUAAAAGGUCCACUUUUUCCUGUAUCCUUUCUUUUUUACUACCUCUGUUGGGUGGUGGGCUACAAGGGAGGUUAAAGCAUUUAAGAGCCACCAUUAAGAAUAGAAUUUGAGGGGAGAGGGGAGAAAAAAAAAAGAAUAGAAUUUGAAAAAAAUUAAAAGUUCUAGCCCUGGCUUGAGCUUUUGUAACCUCAAAGCCCACUCCUGAGUGGUAUACUCCUGCCACGCUCUCCGGUCGAGUCAGCUUGACAGGCUGAGGCUUGAAAGCUACUCACGAGGCAAAAGAGUUUCACGGAAACUCGCUCCUGGAGUCUGGCGUUCUCUCUAAUCCAUACAUUAAUUUUCCAUUCCCGCGUUAGUCUAGUGUAUGGAUCCAUGUGCUCUCUUUUAGUAUUAUCCUAUUAUAAGUGCCUUUUAAGAUUGAAUUCUGACAUAGCUAAAGCCUUCUGCC
rnacentral:lncRNA from 1 species